rnacentral:rRNA from 1 species
UUGUGUUUGAUCAUGGCUCAGAUUGAACGCUGGCGGCAUGCCUUACACAUGCAAGUCGAACGGUAACAGGUCUUCGGAUGCUGACGAGUGGCGAACGGGUGAGUAAUACAUCGGAAUGUGCCCGAGAGUGGGGGAUAACGAAGCGAAAGCUUUGCUAAUACCGCAUACGAUCUCAGGAUGAAAGCAGGGGACCGCAAGGCCUUGCGCUCACGGAGCGGCCGAUGGCAGAUUAGGUAGUUGGUGGGAUAAAAGCUUACCAAGCCGACGAUCUGUAGCUGGUCUGAGAGGACGACCAGCCACACUGGGACUGAGACACGGCCCAGACUCCUACGGGAGGCAGCAGUGGGGAAUUUUGGACAAUGGGCGCAAGCCUGAUCCAGCCAUGCCGCGUGCAGGAUGAAGGCCUUCGGGUUGUAAACUGCUUUUGUACGGAACGAAAAGACUCCCUCUUAAUACGCGGGCGUCGCACGACG